GACGAACCGUGCAAACGUUGUUCGGAAUCACUGGGCUUAAAGGGCGCGUAGGCGGCUCGUCCAAGUCGGGGGUGAAAUCUUUCGGCUCAACCGGAAAAGUGCCUUCGAUACUGGCGGGCUGGAGGGAGGUAGGGGCAUGUGGAACUUCCGGUGGAGCGGUGAAAUGCGUUGAUAUCGGAAGGAACGCCGGUGGCGAAAGCGACGUGCUGGACCUCUUCUGACGCUGAGGCGCGAAAGCCAGGGGAGCAAACGGG
rnacentral:rRNA from 1 species